GAUGAAGAACGUAGCGAAAUGCGAUAAGUAAUGUGAAUUGCAGAAUUUAGUGAAUCAUCGAAUCUUUGAACGCACAUUGCGCCCGCCAGCACUCUGGCGGGCAUGCCUGUUCGAGCGUCAUUUCAACCAUCAAGCCCCCAGGGGCUUGUGCUGGGGCCCUGCGGCUGCCCGCAGGCCCUGAAAACCAGUGGCGGGCUCGCUAGUCACACCGAGCGCAGUAGCACAUCUCGCUCAGGGCGUGCGGCGGGCUCCUGCCGUGAAACCCCCCACUGUAACCCCAAAGGUUGACCUCGGAUCAGGUAGGAAUACCCGCUGAACUUAAGCAUAUCAAUAAGCGGAGGA
rnacentral:misc_RNA from 1 species